GUGAAGUGCCGGAUAAAACGGACUGCGUUGAUGAUGCAGAGCAUGAGAGACCCCUCUCCUUUACCUA
rnacentral:tRNA from 1 species